rnacentral:rRNA from 1 species
UGGGGAAUAUUGCACAAUGGAGGGAACUCUGAUGCAGCGACGCCGCGUGAGUGAUGAAGGAAUUCGUUUCGUAAAACUCUGUUCUAUGGGAAGAAAAGGACUGUACCAUAGGAGAAAGCUCCGGCUAAAUACGUGCCAGCAGCCGCGGUAUUACGUAUGGAGCGAGCGUUGUCCGGAAUUAUUGGGCGUAAAGGGUGCGCAGGCGGCUUUACAAGUUGGAUGUGAAAUAUUGUGGCUCAACCACAAACGUGCAUCCAAAACUGCAAAGCUUGAGUUAAGGAGAGGUAAGUGGAAUUCCUGGUGUAGCGGUGGAAUGCGUAGAUAUCAGGAGGAAUACCGGUGGCGAAGGCGACUUACUGGACUUAAACUGACGCUCAGGCACGAAAGCGUGGGGAGCAAACAGG